rnacentral:rRNA from 1 species
GAAUUCGCCCUUAGAGUUUGAUCCUGGCUCAGGACUAACGCUGGCGGCGUGCCUAAUACAUGCAAGUCGAACGGUCGUGCGUUUGUAGCAAUAUGGACGUACGAUAGUGGAGAACGGGUGAGUAACACGUGGAAUACCUACCCUCGAGCGGGGGAUAACUCCGGGAAACUGGGGCUAAUACCGCAUGACAUCCCAACCCGGCAUCGGGAGGGGAUCAAAGCCGAAAGGCACUUGAGGAUGGUUCCGCGGCCUAUCAGCUAGUUGGCGGGGUAACGGCCCACCAAGGCGACGACGGGUAGCCGGCCUGAGAGGGCGAUCGGCCACAAGGGGACUGAGACACGGCCCCUACUCCUACGGGAGGCAGCAGUAGGGAAUUUUGCUCAAUGGGGAAACCCUGAAGCAGCGACGCCGCGUGGGCGACGAAAUCCUUCGGGAUGUAAAGCCCUUUUAACCGGGACGAAAUACAUGACGGUACCGGUGGAAUAAGCCUCGGCUAACUCCGUGCCAGCAGCCGCGGUAAGACGGGGGAGGCAAGCGUUGUCCGGAAUCACUGGGUGUAAAGGGCGUGUAGGCGGGCCGGCUAGUCGGUUGUUAAAUCUCUCCGCUCAACGGAGAAGCUGCGGCCGAUACUUCCGGUCUUGAGUGCGGCAGGGGAGGAUGGAAUUCCUGGUGUAGCGGUGAAAUGCGUAGAUAUCAGGAGGAACACCGGUGGCGAAGGCGGUCCUCUGGGCCUGCACUGACGCUGAGUGCGCGAAAGCUGGGGUAGCAAACAGAAUCAGAUACUCUGGUAGUCCCAGCCCUAA